UGCUUACACAUGCAAGUCGAACGGUGAAGCCCAGCUUGCUGGGUGGAUCAGUGGCGAACGGGUGAGUAACACGUGAGCAACCUGCCCUCCACUUCGGGAUAAGCCUUGGAAACGAGGUCUAAUACCGGAUACGAGCACUUACCGCAUGGUGGGUGUUGGAAAGUUUUUCGGUGGGGGAUGGGCUCGCGGCCUAUCAGCUUGUUGGUGGGGUAAUGGCCUACCAAGGCGUCGACGGGUAGCCGGCCUGAGAGGGCGACCGGCCACACUGGGACUGAGACACGGCCCAGACUCCUACGGGAGGCAGCAGUGGGGAAUAUUGCACAAUGGGCGAAAGCCUGAUGCAGCGACGCCACGUGAGGGAUGACGGCCUUCGGGUUGUAAACCUCUUUCAGCAGGGAAGAAGCGAGAGUGACGGUACCUGCAGAAGAAGCGCCGGCUAACUACGUGCCAGCAGCCGCGGUAAUACGUAGGGCGCAAGCGUUGUCCGGAAUUAUUGGGCGUAAAGAGCUCGUAGGCGGUCUGUCGCGUCUGGUGUGAAAUCCCAUGGCUCAACCAUGGGCUUGCAUCGGGUACGGGCAGACUAGAGUGCUGUAGGGGAGACUGGAAUUCCUGGUGUAGCGGUGGAAUGCGCAGAUAUCAGGAGGAACACCGAUGGCGAAGGCAGGUCUCUGGGCAGUUACUGACGCUGAGGAGCGAAAGCAUGGGGAGCGAACAGGAUUAGAUACCCUGGUAGUCCAUGCCGUAAACGUUGGGCACUAGGUGUGGGGCGGGUUCCACUCGUUCUGUGCCGCAGCUAACGCAUUAAGUGCCCCGCCUGGGGAGUACGGCCGCAAGGCUAAAACUCAAAGGA
rnacentral:rRNA from 1 species